UACGUAGGGUGCAGGCGUUAAUCGGAAUUACUGGGCGUAAAGCGUGCGCAGGCGGUUUCUUAAGUCAGAUGUGAAAGCCCCGGGCUUAACCUGGGAACUGCGUUUGAAACUGGGAGACUUGAGUGUGGCAGAGGGGGUGGAAUUCCACGUGUAGCAGUGAAAUGCGUAGAUAUGUGGAGGAAUACCGAUGGCGAAGGCAGCCCCCUGGGAUAACACUGACGCUCAUGCACGAAAGCGUGGGGAGCAAACAGG
rnacentral:rRNA from 1 species